rnacentral:tRNA from 1 species
UUAAUCAUGGCAAAAAUGUAUCUGGUUAUGGAGAGAAGGAUUCACGUCCUUGGUUAAU